AUGGUGCCCACAAUUUAUAUAUAUAUUUUUUUUAAAUGUUUUUCUUUUUUUGGAGUGCAUGUAGGAAACCCGCUUUGCAGCCAGUGGACUGGAGAAGCCCAUGAUGAAUGGUUCCCCAGCAAGCAAAACCCCACCACAGUAGUCUGGGGAGAGGCACCAGCACCAACCCAAGCAACAGGGAGACCUGAAGAGAGGCAGCAGUAUUCCUCCUUCCCAGUUCGGGUCAGAGGGAGGUGUCAGCACCUGACUCUUGAUACAGUUGGAGAAUCUGAGACAAAGCUACAGGCUUCUGGUUACAGUUUCCACGGGAACAGAUGUUGGAUCAGCACAAAAAGAAGAGCUCAAAAGAGACUGCUCUUCAGCCUUCACCUCUACCUUGAUUUUGAUAUUCAAACCUCACACUCAGAGACACAGAGCAAGCUGCCUUCAGUGCCCAGCAAGCUCCAAGCCAAGUACCCAGAUCUUCAGGCUAUGGACAGGUGACCAAGACACCUUCUUCUUCCCUAAAAGGGAAGUGUGUUAGAUCCAUUGCAGUGUCUCCUCCCUGUUCCUGGUUACCAAUCCCUGUUCUUGGUUUAAAGUGGUGAGCACCUUCAAUACUGCAAGUGGCUUCUAGAGAACGCCCAUCAGUACGGACAAUAAAUGAACCAUGCACCCUGGGUUGUUAUAGCCA
rnacentral:lncRNA from 1 species